rnacentral:ncRNA from 1 species
AAAUUGAUGGUCAUAUUCCUCGUUUCAUGAAAUCGCUUCGUGAGAUGGAAAAGAAGUCUAUGCCGCGUGAAGGUAGAAGGCCCACGGGUCUUGAACUUCUUUUCCUGGAGAAGAAGCAAUGACGGUAUCUGGGGAAUAAGUAUCGGCUAACUCUGUACCAGUAGCCGUGGUGAGACAGAGGAUGCAAGCGUUAUCCGGAAUGAUUGGGCGUAAGGCGUAUGUAGGUGGCUUUUCAAGUCCACUGUCAAAUCCCAGGGCUCAACCUUGGACAGGUGGUGGAAACUACCAUGCUGGAGUACGGUAGGGGCAGAGGGAAUUUCCGGUGAAGCGGUGAGAUGCUUAGAGAUCCGAAAGAACACCAAUGGCGAAAGCACUCUGCUGGGCCGACAUUGACACUGAGAGACGAAAGCUAAGGGAGCGAAUGGGAUUAGAUACCCCGUGCAGUCUGUAGCUAACGCGUUAAGUAUCCCGCUUGUGGGAAAACGUUCGCAAGAAUGAAAUUCAAAGGAUUGUCGGUUGAGAAGCCUUUCUCCUUAAUACCAAAUGGAACUUUUGUAUAAUCUUUAAU